rnacentral:lncRNA from 1 species
AUGAAGCAUGUCCACAUGAUUGACUUGAUCAUUUUCUUGGGCUGAGGGGGAAAAGCACAGCUCCGAAGUCUUACCGUUGCCCACUCCGGUUAGCCUUUCUAACUGUUCCCAACGUAUCCCAGGCAAAGAGUGCUUUAUUUUAAUCUGUCUCUUUUCAGAAUCACCCUGUUCAUUGAUACUGAUCACCCAACAUCACAAGACAUUCGCAUCUUUCAGCUUAGACUCCCCCUAUCUGGGUGAAUCUUGGUGGACAGCGGGACAUGAAGCAUCAGUCACAGCUCCGGCGUUUAAGAGAAGUAAUCAGCGAUAAAAUGACGUUGAUCUGCACUGUAACCUUGUGGCGUAUUUAAUGUAAAUAAGCCAGUUAUGUUGCCAAUCGCAUAGAUACAAACACAUAAAAGGUCCUCAGCCUUGCAUUUCCAUUCUUUCCAUUAGAGCUGACUUUAUUUACAGACACUAUUUAGGGGAUCAUGAUAAUUCUAAAACAAUACUAGUGCCAAAUGAUUAUGAAAAUAUGAUUUUAAUUAAUCACGUAGUAGGCAAGGAAAUUAGCAUACGGUAAUUAAACUUAGAGAAAAACGUCAUGGAGGUUCUCUGCCUUAUGGGUCCGGAAUAAUCAUUAAACGAUGGGUUUCAGGACUUAAUUAUCAAACAAAUAACUUUUUUAAAGCAACUUUGCGAGGUUUAUCCUCAGGGCAAACGUUUUAGUAAAUAAUACACAACCGGGGGAAACAAGGUGCAAAUGUGUCCCGUGCAGUAGGUUAUGUCUCCACAAAGCGAGGAAGAGAAGAGGGAGAAAAAGCUGAAUAAUGCAAUUAUGGAUUCUGUGUCCUAUAGUUGACAAAAGCAUGGUGCCUCAAUAGAUUCUUUGUUAUGGGAUUAUAUAAUGAUUGUGGUGUAAUUAUGGGAAAAAAAAGAUUUAGCAAUAAUAAAAAAGUAUCAAAAUACACCAAUGGGCAGCUCGUUUAAAAGAAAAGCCUUGCUUGUGACAUUAGGGGCAUGUUAACAA